UUUGGGAAAAAUAGGCUGUUAGGUGGAUGAAUAGGCUGUUCGUGGGACGAGAGGAAGAGUAGGAUGAAGAGUAGUCACUUAGGUGGCGCUUUAGGAACAGUGAUGAAAAAUAGGCUCUUAGGUGGAUGAAUAGGCUGUUCGUGGGACGCGAGGAUGACCACGGUGAAGAGUAGGCACUUAGGUGGCACUUUAGGCACAAUGAUGAAAAAUAGGCACUUAGGUGGAUGAAUAGGCUGUUCGUGGGACGAGAGGAAGACUACGGUGAAGAGUAGUCACUUAGGUGGCACUUUAGGCACAAUGAUGAAGAAUAGGCACUUAGGUGGAUGAAUAGGCUGUUCGUGGGACGCGAGGAAGACCACGGUGAAGAGUAGGCACUUAGGUGGCACUUUAGGCACAAUGAUGAAAAAUAGGCACUUAGGUGGAUGAAUAGGCUGUCCGUGGGACGCGAGGAUGACCACGGUGAAGAGUAGGCACUUAGGUGGUACUUUAGGCACAAUGAUGAAAAAUAGGCACUUAGGUGGAUGAAUAGGCUGUCCGUGGGACGCGAGGAUGACCACGGUGAAGAGUAGGCACUUAGGUGGCACUUUAGGCACAAUGAUGAAAAAUAGGCACUUAGGUGGAUGAAUAGGCUGUCCGUGGGACGCGAGGAAGACCACGGUGAAGAGUAGGCACUUAGGUGGCACUUUAGGCACAAUGAUGAAAAAUAGGCACUCAGGUGGACGAAUAGGCUGUCCGUGGGACGCGAGGAAGACCACGGUGAAGAGUAGGCACUUAGG